AGGUAAUGUGGGCUGAGAUCAUCAAAGCACUUGGUUCUUGAUUUGGUUUUACUUUCAGAUUCGAUCUUACACUUCGAGCUGGCAUUGUCUGUACAGGUUUGGCAGAUCCUUUGUGCAGGUUCGGUGGGUCCGGGAUGGAAGAAAACACCACCAAACAUUCUUUGUUGGCAAUAAAAAAGAGAGAACAUCACGUAAAAUUAGCUGCCCAUUUGAUCUGUAAGAAAAGAACAUUUAGCGAAAAGUUGUGUAAGAAUACUAACCUGUGAUCAAACUGAUUGAUGAUUGUUUACUUGUAUGGUGCCUGUGGUCAAA
rnacentral:lncRNA from 1 species